rnacentral:ribozyme from 1 species
AACUCGUUUUUGGUGAUCAUUAUUUGUGAUUAUUAUUAGUUAUUCCUUUGGUCCACAACUAUUCGUUCUUUGA